UAUCCCUAAACCCAAUCCCAUUUUGAUCGGCAACCCUAUCCCUAAACCCAAUCCCUUUUUAUCGCAUCCAUAUCUUAUAAACAAAAUCGAUUCCAUGAACAGAGAUUUUGAUUCAGGCAGCCGCAUAGAUUUUAUAUUCAUUCAUCUUCUUCAACAAUUCCUUCAAGAAUCCACAGGCUCUUUGUACAAAGAUCGACUAGAGAGCCUGAUUGAUGAUUUCCUUGGUGAUUUUGAUUCCAAAGGGGUAAGGGUGAAUACCAAAUUGAUUUUGUACCAGCUCCUAGGAUCACUGAAGCCGACAAAACA